AUGAUUUCAGUCACAAAAGGAAAUCGUGGCUCGAAAAAGUGGAUGAAUCGAAAUUUUGUGGACGUACAAAAAACUUGGAAAUUUUGAACUGAUUCUUUUUCCCAAAGAUUCAUUGUAAGGAUUGUGACUGAUUUGAUCUGUGCCUUCGACCAUCACCAAGAAUCAACCUUAAUCAUUGCAGUCUGCACAUUGCAGUUCACCAAUAGUUUUAUUGCUAACUUUGCCCAGUGGUCAGGUAUAUUUCCAGGUAUGUUUACCAACAACAAUGAAAACCGUGAAGAAGCGGGCACAAAUGCCGGAACAGAAUUCUCAUGAUAAUGUGUGUAAAAGGACAAAAGAGCGCGUUAGCUGAAUUCAUCGGGUGAAAAGAGGAAAAAGAAGAAAAAAAAAGAAAUGGAAUAGAAAGGAGAAGAGGAGAAAAGGAGGAGGAGGAAGAGAAGGAGGAGGAGGAGGAGGAGGACCGGUCGACU